AUUAGAACCUGCAGUGAAACAAUAGCAACUGGCUAAUACAUCUUGAAAUCUUGUCGUACAUCUUGGUCAAGAAUUCAGAUUACGAUAACACGCGUUUAUUUAGACAAACAUUGGUUUUUAUGCCAUUCGUUAACUUGCUUUUUCACAUUUUUAACACACGUAGAACGUCACAUGAUCGACCGUCGUGCAAUGAAAAGCAUCUUUAUAACACUAAGGAAAUAAAUAAAAGAAUUGAAGACACGUAUACAACAAGUAAUAUUCUAUCGCAGCGGUUUCCGUUAGUAAAUAGUGAAGAGAGACAGAAAUAAACAUACCUCAUGAAAACUAUGGUAAUCAUAGCGAUUACAGCGAAUCGUGCACGAGCGCCCCACGAAGCGAUACUGAGAUUUUACGAUCGUGUGGCUCCCCUUUUCUGUCUUUUCCCUCGUUCACCCUUUCGUCUCUAUAUACAACGAUAGCCCCUUUACGUCUCUUCUGUUGGCGAACGGAACUCGAGCAGCGUUUUCAGCGUAUCACAUACCCCCUUGGCAGCAGAUAUUGCGAGCACGAGGGCGCAUGCACUACCUCACCUCCAAGAAUCAAUAGACGUUCUGGUCACGUGAAGCAUCCGCGAGAACAGAGACCUACCUUAGACGGAGGCAAAAUUAUAUACAGAAAAGGGAAGAGAAUAGUGGAAGAAGCACCAGAAAGAGAAAGGGAGAGAAAAGAGAGAAAAUAUAAAGGAUAGAGGAUAAAGGGUGAACGAAAGAAAAGGUAACAAAACGAAUAAAGCGAGAUAAAGAGAAACAAGGUGAGAAACUGUGAAAGAAUAAGAUAUGAACAAGAACUAAGAUUGAUUAAAGUGGAACAAGAGCCAGAGGAGUUCACAAAUAAUUAACUCAUUUGAAAAUUUCAAUUAAUAAAUUUUUAUAGAAAUGGAAGCUUGUUAAAUUUAUUUUAUAAGAUAACAAUGAAAUUUUAUAAAAUUUUUACACCGGUUUUAACUGAUUUGUAUGUCUCCCUACACUACGACUGCAAUUUACCCUACGUGUUUUCAAAGCUUUAUUCAGUCAACAAGUCCUAUAAAUGAUUUAUAUGUUCUGAAAGAACUAAUACUAAUACUUAAACUUUGGCCUAAGCAUUUUGUUUAUCUUAUACAUCUAAACAACAUACGUGAAUAAUAUUUUUAAAUUCACAAAAUUAAUGAUAAUGAUACAUUGAUGAUAAUGGCAAUGAUGAUGAUAAAGUGAUACAUUUCAAUCGAUUUCUACUAUAUCAACAGGAAUAGAAAUAUGUACGAUGACCUUUUGUAGCUAUGUGCGUUUGUUUACUACUGGACUAUAGGGUAACUAUUUUCGAUGCACCCUACUAAUUGUUUUUCCAUUUCAAACAAUUGUGAUUAAUAUCAUAGAAAAGGAUAAGUAUAUACUUAGUAUAUUACAUAAUAUAUUUGAUUAUUUGUUUCUAUUUUAUAAUUACUAGGAAAUAAAUGUAUAAUAAUUUAUACAUUUGUUACUUUCUUUCGACUUGUAUAUUUUAAUCCUUCUAGACAAAAAUUUAUUAUUAUCUUUACUUUUUUACCAAAGGUAAAAGAUAGAUAUAAAAGCUAACCGAAAGAGAAAACAUACACAUUCAUAUAUAAAAUACAAAUGCAUUAUGUACAUAGUACAAUAUUACAUAUGCUAAAGUGAAAUAUUUAAAUAAAAUAAAAUUAACAUA